AAAACUAAGUGAUGACUCCAUAGUUCAUCUGAAUGCCUUGAUGUACACACAUUUAUGUCUUUCGCUCCUAUCUGAUUACUUGU